CGAAAUCUGUCUGCAGCCGUUGGAGUCGAGGACGAAGUCCGGCUCCCAUAGGAGUCCGGGUGGAGUCUUCCUGCAAUUAAAGUCAAAGGUGAAGUCUGGCUCCCGUAGGAGUCCGGACAAGGCUUACCAGCAGUUGAAGUUAAGGACGGAGCCUGGCUCCCUUAGGAGUCCAGGCGGAGUCUACUUGCGGUCAGAGUUGUGGGCGGAGUCCGGCUCCCGUAGGAGUCCGGACGAAGUCUGACUGCAGCCGUUGGAGUNN
rnacentral:lncRNA from 1 species